UGCCAGACUCCUACGGGAGGCAGCAGUGGGGGAUAUUGCACAAUGGGGGAAACCCUGAUGCAGCGACGCCGCGUGGAGGAAGAAGGUCUUCGGAUUGUAAACUCCUGUCCGAGGGGACGAUAAUGACGGUACCCUUGGAGGAAGCACCGGCUAACUACGUGCCAGCAGCCGCGGUAAAACGUAGGGGGCAAGCGUUAUCCGGAUUUACUGGGUGUAAAGGGAGCGUAGACGGCAGUGCAAGUCUGAAGUGAAAGCCCCGGGCUUAACCCGGGAAUUGCUUUGGAAACUGUACGGCUGGAGUGCUGGAGAGGUAAGCGGAAUUCCUAGUGUAGCGGUGAAAUGCGUAGAUAUUAGGAGGAACACCAGUGGCGAAGGCGGCUUACUGGACAGUAACUGACGUUGAGGCUCGAAAGCGUGGGGGGCAAACAGGAUUAGAUACCCGAGUACA
rnacentral:rRNA from 1 species